UCGGAUAUGGUGUAACGGCUAACAUUGCCGCCUCUCACUCAAGAUCGCGGCAGCUCGGGGUUCGAUUCCCCGUAUCCGAA